UACGUAGGGGGCUAGCGUUGUCCGGAAUCAUUGGGCGUAAAGCGCGUGUAGGCGGUUCGGUAAGUCCGCUGUGAAAGUCGGGGGCUCAACCCUCGGAUGCCGGUGGAUACUGUCGGGCUUGAGUACGGAAGAGGCGAGUGGAAUUCCUGGUGUAGCGGUGAAAUGCGCAGAUAUCAGGAAGAACACCAACGGCGAAGGCAGCUCGCUAGGACGGUACUGACGCUGAGACGCGAAAGCGUGGGGAGCGAACAGG
rnacentral:rRNA from 1 species